rnacentral:rRNA from 1 species
ACAAUGUAGAGUUUGAUCCUGGCUCAGGAUGAACGCUAGCUACAGGCUUAACACAUGCAAGUCGAGGGGCAUCAGGACGGUAGCUUGCUAUCGUUGCUGGCGACCGGCGCACGGGUGAGUAACGCGUAUCCAACCUUCCCAUGACUCCGGUUCAGCCCGCCGAAAGGCGGAUUACUCCCGGAUGGUUUCCGAAGAGGGCAUCUGAUUUGGAAUAAAGAUUCAUCGGUCAUGGAUGGGGAUGCGUCUGAUUAGGCAGCAGGCGGGGUAACGGCCCACCUGGCCAACGAUCAGUAGGGGUUCUGAGAGGAAGGUCCCACACACU